rnacentral:lncRNA from 1 species
UUUGGCGACGUCAGAGGCGCGGGUGUUCGGCUGCGUCACUGGGGCGCUAUGGUGCCUGGAGCUGGGCAGUUUUCUCGUCAGAGUGGGGACUGAUGAUGAUUAUUCCCCACCUUCUAAGAGACAAAGACCAACGAGCCACCACAGCCACCAGUCCCAGAACCCGCCAAUGCUGGGGAACGGAAAAUGAGGGAGUUCAACUCUGAGAAAUGGAAUCAUCGUAUCGCUGAUCUACGUAAACAAACUGAAGAAUUGUCUGAAAGAAAAUAUGACAUGAACUUAUGAAUUCAACAGGUGAAGAUUUACAACUUGAUAAAUCAACUUUGUGAGCUCGAGCUGUAAAAGCCAAAGGUCUGGUGAUGAUCCCAUACCCUUUUUUCCAGUCUCAUGUUGAAGAUUUUUAUGUAGAAGGCCUUCCCAAAGGAAUUUUUUUUUUUUUUUUUUUUUGAGAUGGAGUUUUCACUCUUAUCGCCCAGGCUGGGGUGCAAUGGCGCAACCUUGCUGGUCACUGCAACCUCUGCCUCCUGGGUUCAAGAAAUUCUCCUGCCUUAGCCUCCCAAGUCGCUGGGAUUAUAGGUGCCCAC